rnacentral:rRNA from 1 species
CAGCCGUGCUUGGAAAAAGAGAGCGCCACUCUGUCGGGUGAAGUGAUAGGUAAAGAUCUGAUCAGGUGAGGAAAAAAGAAGGUGGGGCUGGUGUGUUUAGAUAAGGUGGGGUUGGUCUAGCGGCCGCUUCCACACACGCCGCCGGUCGGGCACCUAGAGCCGCCGUACGGCCAUCAAGCUCUUUCGCCUUGGCGAGCUCCUACGACCCGUGCCUUCCCCCUCCUCGUCUCGGCAGAGGCUGCGCCGUACAGAUUCUCCGCCCGCGUCUCCCCCUAUCGCCGCCGCUAGCGGCCGCUCCCACAACGCCGUCGGACGGGUGCCUAGAGCCGCUACCGCGGACGAGCUCUUUCAGCGUCGUGAGCUCCUACGCACCGCGCCUCCCUCUCUCGUCGUCGCCUAGACUGCGGCGGCGGCAGGCGGCGGCGCCGCGAAGUCGCAGCCGUACACCACCUCCAGUUGGUCUUCCACCUGCUGCGGGACGGCGAACGUCGGCUCGACGAGCAGCUGCACCUGCGGCAGAAGAAAGGACGCUACACGGCUUCCCCUUGACGAGCGGCCCUCAGUGGGUACCGGUCCAUAAGGCAAGUGGAACGCCCCCACAGAACCAGUUUUGGAAAAGCGCCGAAACGGUGAGAGAGGCCGGCCAUGCAAUUGGGGAACGAGUGGCGGCGGCGGCAUUCUUAGAGAGCAAACUUGCUCAGUGUGGAUCGGCGACUAAGGUACCACUAAGGCGUCCUAGAACUAGAACUACGUGUUGGUCCUCCACUUGAUCCUAAAGACAAAGAAACGUGUCUAAGGUGUCGUAGAACUAGCUAAGUGAUCGAUUCGUUUUCCGAUGAGCAAGAACAGCCGUUCACGGGUCUUACCCAUCUACGUAAAACUAUACGUUAAAAAGUCACAGGUAGGAAUCAACAGUAAAGGUGGGAUCAUAAACAAGUACGAUUUUUAUUGUGUACCGUUUAAUAUAGUCAUGAAUAAAGAUAUCGAUAAAGCCGUAAAAAAACAUACCAAAUGCUAGCGUUGGCAGGACAGGUAUACAAAAAACAUCAAAGUUCAUAUGAGUUAUUUAAGAACUAAUAAUCGUGUUGUUAUACAGGGUACCGUAAAGCGCAUGUAAAAAAGGGGACCCUUUUGUGUGGAACCUUUCACGAGUACGACUGAUCACGAGUACAGUGUACCGUUUAAGAAUAACCUUGAUACGUUACGAGUGUACCGUUUACAAAAUUCUAAAGAAAAAUUAUUACAGUGUACCUUUACAAUCCUAUUAAAAAAGGAUUUAAUACCGUAGAAGGUAUUUACAAAGAUGACAAAACAGCGUACCGUUUAAAUCUGUUAACAAUAGAAGUAUUUAGUACCGUUGAAAUGUUUCUAUUGUUACAUCGAAAAAAGGUAUAGAAAACGUUUAGUACUAUUAUCAGUGUAACUGAUGAAAAAACAGUGUACCGUUGAAAACGGUACCGUUAAAAAAGGCAUCGUGCCGUUUGAAAAAAAAUAUAUUAGUGUGUUAUUAACAUACUAAAAACAUAGAAGCACUGUACCGUUAAAAAUGCGACAUCGUAACUAAAAUAACGGUACCGUUUAAAUGAAAAUAACAGUUCUACUAACGUUAAUAAUCGUUUGUUGGUACCGUUUAAAUCAAUUGCUUACUACCAUUUAAAUCACUCGCUUACUACCGUUUAAAUCAAUUGCUUAGUACCGUUUAAAUCAAGUAUCUAGUACCGUUUAACAUCAAAGAGUGAUUAAUUGGUACCUUUGAUCUUAAAGGUGAACUAGUACCAUUCAAAUCAUUAAUUGGUACCUUUUAAAUCAAAUAUAUAGUACCUAUUAAAAUCAAGGUAAAAAAACAGACAUCUGGUACCGUUUAAAGACGCUGGUGCUGUUAAAUAUAAACCUGUUUAAAGCAUGUUUGGUACCGUAAAAAAGAAACAUCGUACUGUUGAAAAAAGAUACUCUUCACACGGAGUAUGUAGUAACGUUUGAAACUUUGAACAAAAACAUAUUUGUGUGUUAUUAAUAUACAAAAAUAGGCGUAUUGUACUAAGCAAAUCCUUGUACCGUUAAAAAUGAAACAUCAUACUCUUUAAGUAAAUAUAACGGUACCGUUUAAAUGAAAAUAACGGUUAUGCUACCAUUAAUAAUCGUUUGUUGGUACCGUUUAAAUCAAUUACUUACUACCGUUUAAAUCAAUUACUUAGUACCUUUUAAAAUAAGUACUAGUACCAUUAUUAACUGGUACCGUUUAAAUCAUGUAUCUAGUACCGUUUAAAAUCAAAGAGUAAGUAAUGGGUAUCGUUUAAAUAAAGUAACUAGUACCGUUAAAAGUCAAACUACAUAACGGUACCUUUUAAAAUAAAAAAUUAACGGUUCUGCUACCCUUUAAAAUCAUUUACUGGUACCGUUUAAUUCAAACGCUAAGUACCGUUUAAAGUAAUCGAUACGUACCUUUUUUAGCAAUUAGUAACAUUUAAAUCAUUAACUGGUACUGUUAAAACUUAAAUAUCUAGUAACGUUUUGAAAUCCAGGUACAGAGUACCGUCACGGUUUUAAUAAAUGAUCACUAUUACAAAAGUGAAAAAAGUUGUGUACAAUUACGUUCCCCAUUAUACGUAGUGCCUUUUAAACUUUGUUUGCCUUUUAAAUGUGGUGAAAAACCGGUGGUAAACCGUUUGAAUAUCUAAAUGAAAACCAUAGUUACGCACAAAAAUACUGGUACCGUUAAAAAGAAAGAAAAACGUAGAACAGUUUUAAUAAAAGAAUACGCUGAUACCGUUUAAAUCAAAAUACCAGUGCCGUUAAAAAAGAUACGUAGUACCGUAAAAAACCACACGUUUGGUACCGUUAAAAGAACGCGGGUGCUGUCAAAUAUAAACUUGUUUAAAGUUUUAAAGUAUGUUUGGUACCGUUAAAUAAAGGACAACGUGCCGUUGAAAAAGCUAAAAACAUGUAGUACCUUCAAAAACGAGCAACGGUAGGUAGUACCGCAAAAAGUAAAAUACAUCCAUGACACAUCAUCGAAGUUGUUAAUAUUUUUAACUACCGUUAAAGAUCUAAAAACACCGUAAAAUAACAUGUCAAAAAAGAGUCAAAAAAGUCAACCCAAAAGAAGUGACAAAAGCACAAAAAAGACGUAAAUUAAAAAAACGUUUCCCUUAUCAAACCCGGUCGUCCGGAUUGUUUUCCGGGUCGAUUGCUCCCUAAUCCACCUAUCAAGCCUGACAACCUUGUACCGUUGCUUGCUUUGACAAGCGACUAUGAAGGGACGGCUUGGCUUGUUGAGCAAGCCUAGCUAGUGGAGUGUUGGGCUUGUAAGCCCACAAUAGCCCCAGCAUACAAAUUGUAAAGUCAGUUAUAUGGAAGAAUUGAAAAAUGGGGCCCGUCGGGAUUCGGCUUUCUGAAAUGAGGCUCGCUCACCUGCUCGCGCGCGGGGUGGAGGUAUCGGUAGCGGCCGAGGAGGCAGAGUACAGGCCCGUCCACGCUGUCGGGCGGCGCGCAUCUGCUAGGGAUCGAGUAGAGUGGUAGAUCCUCGAGGCGUAGGUUGUCAUUUUUUCGUUUCGAGCGUGACGCUGAGGACGUAAAUCUCACUCGCUCACUCACUGUGACACUCUCGAGAUCGUGGCACAUCCGUCCAAACCCAAUUCUUUUCGUUCGACGGGGUAGAAGAGGGACGGUAAAUGGGAGAGAAGGACGACGCAGGAGAAGAUGAGGAUGAGGAGAAGGAAAAAAAGGUUGGCGGAUGGGUGACUGAUGGGGCGAGCAAGCUAACCUCGGGGCAUCGAUGUAUCCAUCAAGUUAAUCCAGCUGCAACUGUCGCAACCCUACGGAUCGAGCAGCCGGACAGGAGGCACCGACCACGCGUACCACCGCCGUUUGCUGCUGGUCCGUAGCAGCAGGAGGAGCAGGUUCCCGCCCCAACGGCACGAGUGGUGACCGUGCGGGUGAUAUCUGUGCCCUAUGGCGCCGCCACCGCCCCUUCCGCCGUUACGGCGGCUGGGAGUCCUCUCGUCGUCAUCGCCCGUCAGGUCCGAGCGCCGCGCGCCGGUGACCGCAGGACGGCUCCUGUACUUCGAUGCGCUCGAGCACCGCGAGAUACCGGGGGUCUUGACCUUGGAGUAGCGGCUCUUCGAGCUGCCCUCUAGGCCCUUCUCGACAGCCGACGCUACCAAGUUGGUCGAACUGGGCGCCUAGUCGUUCGCGGGCAAGAGGCUGCUUCUCCUCCUCUUCGACUGCCGCCGCGUGGCGAAGAUGCCGUUGUUCACCAGGUACUAGCGCGCCGAGAAGGGGCCGGCCUGGCUGUUGCGGCAGUUCUUGGUGACCGUACAGUAGUACCGCGCGUUCAUGGCGCUCGUCAGGUAGCGGAUGGCGGCGGCGUUCGAGUUGGUCCGACAGGUCGCGUUCGAACUGAGCAGGAGGCCCCACCGACGGCCACGGCCCGUGCGGCUGCAGCAACCAGUGGUGGUGUUGGUGGAGGACAACCGGCGGUUGCUGAGGCGGUAGAAACGCCUAGGGAUGCCGAAGUCGAAGUCGGUGACGACGGAGAGAAAGGGACGGCCGCGGCGGCGACGGAGCCGCAACCUCGGAUGGAAGACGAACAAGGGGCCACUCAUUGAAUAGAUAGUAGUAGUAGUAGUAGUGGUGGUGGUGGUGGUGCAUAUCUCCGCCAUCUAAAAGAUAUCGUCGUGACGUUAGAGUUUUGACAAGUGUGACUGACCACCAGGGACUGUGUAAGGAUCGACUAAUAAGAUCUGCUGACCCGAAAGCCCUGUAUUUUAUGAGAUAUCACCAGCUUUCAAUAAAAUUAUUCACUUCUUUCCAUCUAUAAAGAUGCAAAAAAAAAGACUUUUUAUAAAGAUGCAAAAGAAUCCUCCCAUCUGUAAAGUUUCAAUCUAGUAGAGAUUAAAUAUCCCCUUUUUGGACCCUAAUUUUGAAUAGGUUUGUGGGGAAAUCAUGGGUGUAAAAUAUGCCGUUUGUUUUUUGUUAGGAAGUGCGGGUAAUUCUAACCCGUUUGUGUAAAGUCUUCUUUUGAUCCGCUUGCUAUUGUCUAGCCAUUACAAUGAGUAGGCUGCAAAGGAGCCUCUCCCCACCGUUCGCUUACGGUAAACUACUAUCAAAGUCAACUCUUCUUUUUAGUUUGCUGUUGUCAAAAUUUUGUUUUUUACGGAAGAGAUUUCUUGUACAGUACAGUAAGACUUAUUUGCCGGUAGGGCGUGUUAUUUUUACUGUAGAUUUUGCAAGCGUCUACGGUGAGAAGGACUGUUUGCAAGCGGUCAAUACUCGCAAGAUUGGCUUAACCUAUUGGGUAGUAUGGUGUUGUAGAAAGUGGUGCGGCGAUUGAGGUCGCUCGGCGCGUCCAGAUUAGCUGGUACAAGGGCGGACUCGGAGGAGGGUAGCGGCAAUGGAGGGCUGUGACUCGGUCACGAGUACCGACAACGGUGGCGCGGGUUGGUGACGGUUAAAGCUCGGAGGAGGGUGUAGAGUUCCGUGUAAGGCGUUCCGAAAGCAGCGGCGGGCUCGGUUUGGUGUCGGAGCUCGCAACGGCUUUGAUCCUUAAGUUUGAACCGUGUUGGAGGGAGGGUAGGCCGAUGGUGCUGCUGCAUACACCGCUGGAGGACGGCCGGAGACGUGAGAGAUGGCAAAUGUGUGUUAUACAAGCUGCCUUACUCUAUAGGUGUAAGAAAAAGGAAAAAUUAUUUCACUUUUAUAUCGUUUGUACCAAAAGGAAUGUAUGUUUUCUCCACGCUUUAUCUUCUUCUUUUUGGACCUAAUGGGAUUCUUUUGUGGACCUAUCUCAAAACUCCUACGACUGCGUAUCGUGCAUGAGGAAGGAUUUAGUUACCUAGACGACGCAUGAUGAGGCCGCUUCGCGUGCGCAUCUCGUUCCCUCCGGGGGUGGCACGCCAUGUGCCGGCCGGAAAAGCAGCCAAGGGGUGACGGUGGCCGGCCGUCGGCUUUAUUUACGGAGCGACCUUUGUCCGUCGUACACCCGCACUCUGCUACCUAGCUUGGUUGCUUCUGGUCCGUGACCGGCCCUUCUGAAACCUGAAAACGGUGCGUGUCGUGUCGGUGUCACUAGGAGGGCGUGUGCGUGCGAGUCAGCUAGCGAGUGGAGGGAGUGUCCGUGUCCCGCGUCGCUGUUCGUGUCACUAGGGCGUGUGCGUGCGAGCCCUAGUCCGCGCGUGCCCGGCUCGUCAACGACGGCUCGCCAUACCCCUCCUCUAGGUAGACGGAGCAGGAGUAUUUACCGGGAGAGUGGACAUGACAUUGGUGGUGGCGAAGAGGACAGGAACUCGACAAGGGAAAAGAGGCAGCCAACUGCUACGGCUAGCCUCAAAAAUGGCACAGAUGGUCAUGAGGAAGGCAAGGAUUUAUAAACAAAAAAAUUAAAGUUUAUUUGAUAGUGUAUACUUACAUAUAUUUGUAUGAGGAUAAAAUCUCGCAUAUAAGUGAGCAAAACGAAGCAUACAUCAAUGAACAACUUUAAAAAUCUUUUUUGUUUAUAAAUCCUUGUCUCCAUGUACCGUCAUUACAAAGCGAACACAAACAAAGCAGACCGACGUCCCGGGCCGCGGCGCAGGUUGAGCCACGUGCUGCCCGCGGAGAGCACCGGCCUGCGGUACCGGCACGCUCCUCCUCGUCCUCCACCGCCGGAAGUGACCCUCGGCGACGGCCGCGUUCCUCCGACCUAGCCGCCGCCGGCGGUGCUCUACCGUGCCAAGCUGAGGCUGGUCCGUUUACCUCGCAGACGGCGGCACAAACGGCACUGUCUAGUUCGACCGCAAGUGAACCUGCCGCGCAGCGCCAGCGGCUGAAAGUAUCUAAAGGAGCCCCAGCCUCGCUGUACUACCUAUCUGCCUACGUACCUAGCUACGGCUACGAGAUCGUCUCUCACGCACGCCGUCCACCUAGUGAUCGAUCAAGAUCGGAGAUCUGAUCUAUCCAAUGAUAUUUUUCGUGAUCGAUACACCCGAGACAUAUAAACCGACCGAACAAACGGUGAGAUGAACAAAAUUGAGUACAUGGUGUACUUGUAGUCGAACACAAACGUCCCCUCCAGCUACAGUCGUUAGAGUCGUCAACUGCCAUCGGCCAUCCACUCUUACUCUAUACACUUUAGUACUACACGCUCAUCGAUUCUAACAACUCGGCUCCUCGUAUCUAGUCCAAUAAACCUAUGGGAUCGUGUAUGAUCGUAUGAUAUUUUUCUCCCUUAAGGUAAAAAGUG